GCUGGAUUGAAAAAAAUGGUUUACCCACUUUGCUAUCAGUUAUUAUCAGUUUCUGCUUCUACAUUUAAAAUGUCAGACCCCACUAGAUUCAUUUAGGACCAAAAGGAAUAUCGCCAUUGGCAAUCAAGAUUAGGCGUGAUCUUACUAAACAAUUUUAUUCUUAAUCAUAAUCGAACAUUCACGAAAUUUUUGCAAAAGGUCAAAUGGAGCUUUUAUCCGAGUCUAAAAUUUCCUCAAGCUGAGUGCAACCAGCCCAUCCUCAGAUAAAGACGAGUUCGACCAUGAUUGAGCCCGCCCAUCUUUAAGAUCAAAUGUCCCUUUGCCACUCUGGCCCAGUAAGGGAAGGAUCACGACAAUUUUGGCAACCAUCGCCUUGAUCCUAUUACGUCGUUUAUAGUUAAAAAGGAUGGGGAAAGGACUUCGCUCUUUCACAUGCUAUCCAGUGAGUUCCGACUGGAGAAGAAGCUCCCUGCAUCCCUUUAGGUAGUGAACAUGGAUUCAAAUUUCAAGUUUUGACCUAUAAAGAUCAAAGAACUUGAUCCACACACGACCCACAACAACAAAACUAAAAUUUUGAUAGGAACUUAACCGCGGGAAGUAUACCCAUUGUCACAAUUACGGUGGCUGCCAGCAAGUUGUGAGGUUGAUAUGGUAGCCGUCUUAUGCUACACAAAAUUCUCAAAGUAGAGUUUCAUUGACGGUUUGCCGCCUUGCUACCUACAUCUGAUCAUAUUAUUUCUUUUCUGGAUCUUUCGACUGUUGAUCAUUUUGACAGUAAAUCUUAUGAUGGUGCCAGCUUCUCUAGCAAGUUGCCCCUUUCGUGCAUUCAAAGGCCUGCUUGUGACCAAUGACCAUAUUAUCAUCCAUAGAAACUCAAAAAAAUGACAAUUGACAGAGUCAUCCAACUGACAUCAUCUGAUUACCAUGCAGCAAUAAACACACAGCUUCUGUACCUAUCAAGAUCACCAUUGGUGCUGCUGUUAGGGAAAGAAUCAUCUUGGAUAUAUUGAUUGGGAACCAUUACAACUUUUUCUUUAGGUAAAAAUGACAUGUUUUAGUCAUUAAAACUCUAAAUCGGUAGACAACAAUUUCAAAAUGUUUUCUGCAACAUCUGAAAGGUGAAGUUUUCAACCUUGAUGCCAAAUAGACUAUUAGAGGAUGAAGAGCAUAAAAGUCGAAUUAUUAUGCAGCAAGGAAGUCACUUGCAAGCACAAGCUUGCAUAUAACACUCCCAACCAUAACCAAAACCAAACCAAAUAUAGAGAUGGGUAGACACUGAAUAUCAUUCCUGUCUAUUAAGCAAUCUUCAUGGUAAUAUUAUCCAACAUCUAUGUUCUGAUUUCCCUAUUCCCAUCCCACCUAUCAGUUUCUCAAUGGAAUACUUAAGGCAGUCUCCAUUGUCUGGACUAAGAAUGUGAAAAAAAUUUAAAGCUAAACAUGAAUCUCCUAUGACAUGGAAGACAACCAAGAGUAUUUUUCAUUCAACACUAAACCUCAAUUCCAAAAUAGUUGGACAUGGAUACAUGAAUCCUUUUAUUCCCCCCAAAAAGGGUUUAGAUCUUCCAAAGGAUCUGGGGUUAAGUUCAUACUAUUAUUACCAUAAUAUAAUAAUUACAAUACAUACAUAAACAGUCCACACUUUGAACAGCCAGAAGAAAAAGAAAAAAAAUUACCAGUAGCAGAUGAACUAGCAACAUUUCUCACUUGUAGGCACCAGAUAUGAUCAUAUAAGUUGUUAGUGAGACUGCAACUCCACAGCCUUAUUGCAUUUAGACUUCUGUUGUCUGUUGAUAAUUACGGAGCUAAUCCUCGUCUUUCUUGCUCUUGGGCUUGCGGUACUUCUCUUCAAUGAGCUUGGCCAUGAAGAGGCCAGAGGUGGCGAGCUUCUUGAUAUUGGGAACGUCAUAGUUUUGAGCAAUGUAAACCCCGCACACAGUGCCUACUAUGAAGGAGAAACAGCUCCUUAUUAUCCCCAUCGCCUAUGCUAUGCUAAUGUGUAAUUGCUGCUGCAAUCGCCGCCACUGGUUGGAUAUUUAGAGCUGUAAAAUUUUAUAUGAUUGGAGA
rnacentral:misc_RNA from 1 species